UACGGAGGGUGCGAGCGUUGUCCGGAAUCAUUGGGCGUAAAGGGCGCGUAGGUGGCUUCUUAAGCGUGCGGUGAAAGCCUGGGGCUCAACCCCGGGUCGGCCGUGCGAACUGGGGGGCUGGAGCACUGUAGAGGCGGGUGGAAUUCCGGGUGUAGCGGUGGAAUGCGUAGAGAUCCGGAAGAACACCAAUGGCGAAGGCACCAUCCUGGGAAGCAUCUGACGCUCAGGUGCGAAAGCUAGGGGAGCGAACGGG
rnacentral:rRNA from 1 species